CUCACUGAGUCCGUUGUAGCUGGUCUGGUGAGCCACCCUCUGUGGCGAUUUCCUGUCUCCAAUUCCUGUGUGCUGGGAUUGCAGGCUGACUACCACAGCCACCUGACUUUGAUGAUGGAAAAGUUUCACAGGCUCAAAAGAAUUUGAAUGUAGUACUGAAUGAUGCUUCAAGCCUCCUAAAAAGAAGACGAUAAUUUCAAAGGGUGCCUCGGACCCCGGACAUGACUGUCUGUAGAAAGUCCAGAGAUUUCCACAUCCAGUGUGGGGGAAGAGCGGUGACAGUUCCACGUCUGUGUCCACUCACGUGUCAUUAUUAAACAGCUGAGCAGAUGCAGCUAAAGGCCCGACUCUAGCAGGAAGCACAAAAACGUUCCUUAUAAGGAAGUUGCCAGAAUUAUACACAUUUCUGCAGGGCCCAGGCUCCUGCAUUUGAUGGCACAGCACACACGGUGCCCUACCCCCAGCCCAGUGUUGUUGAGUUUGGAAGUUUCCAUGCUGAUGUUUCUUGAUGAGCGAAAUUGCCUUAGGGUAAUUUGGAGCGAGACAUUGAGGUUAUUUUUGAACUUAUGCUAUUAUAAGUAAUGACAGAAGGAAUAACUGUGUGCACAGGUCAUUGUGCACGUGUGACUAACUUAAAUUACGAUAUUAAUUUGUGAAAUCUCCUCUCUAUUGGAUAUGGGGGGCCUCAAAUUGAAUCAUCAUGUGUGCUGUCAAAUG